GAUGAACGCUGGCGGCGUGCCUAAUACAUGCAAGUCGAGCGAACGGACGAGAAGCUUGCUUCUCUGAUGUUAGCGGCGGACGGGUGAGUAACACGUGGAUAACCUACCUAUAAGACUGGGAUAACUUCGGGAAACCGUAGCUAAUACCGGAUAAUAUUUUGAACCGCAUGGUUCAAAAGUGAAAGACGGUCUUGCUGUCACUUAUAGAUGGAUCCGCGCUGCAUUAGCUAGUUGGUAAGGUAACGGCUUACCAAGGCAACGAUGCAUAGCCGACCUGAGAGGGUGAUCGGCCACACUGGAACUGAGACACGGUCCAGACUCCUACGGGAGGCAGCAGUAGGGAAUCUUCCGCAAUGGGCGAAAGCCUGACGGAUCAACGCCGCGUGAGUGAUGAAGGUCUUCGGAUCGUAAAACUCUGUUAUUAGGGAAGAACAUAUGUGUAAGUAACUGUGCACAUCUUGACGGUACCUAAUCAGAAAGCCACGGCUAACUACGUG
rnacentral:rRNA from 1 species